rnacentral:rRNA from 1 species
UGGGGUGCUCGAGUGGCGAACGGGUGAGUAACACGUGAGUAACCCGCCCUUGACUUUGGGAUAACUUCAGGAAACUGGGGCUAAUACCGGAUAGGAGCUCCUGCUGCAUGGUGGGGGUUGGAAAGUUUCGGCGGUUGGGGAUGGACUCGCGGCUUAUCAGCUUGUUGGUGGGGUAGUGGCUUACCAAGGCUUUGACGGGUAGCCGGCCUGAGAGGGUGACCGGCCACAUUGGGACUGAGAUACGGCCCAG